AAGCGCCAGAAGGCCCUCGGAGCUGGACCUCAGUGUCCGGGAUGAACGAUGGGGGUGGAGACACUCCUUGGAGCGUCUGCAACAGCGCUUUCCCCACUAGCAAAUCUCAUCAAGUGUUGUUGCUGCGUUGGGGGUGAGAUGAGUUGGGGAGGCCCUGCAUACAGCCUGCUGGCUGGAGGCUACUCACUCCUGGCUUAAAGUGUGUCUUUGGGGUGCUUUGAAAUGCCCCGAGGAACAGAUCCACCAAAGCUUACUUCUAUACCAUAUUUUGCAAUGGCUAAAAUCUUUGUACCUUCAGACGAGCGAAACUGACAUGGGCCACAGAUACGCCAUGCAUUAAAGGUGUUAAGUUGUGGGUGAACAUAUCAGAUGACACAGCAAUUCUUCAAACAGCUCUCGUUUAUUCACAGGCCAGAACAGAACAGAACAGAACAGAACUGAAGGGUUCAGCCAGCCUGCUUAUAUAGAGCUCCACUACAUCGCAACAGUAACCACUUUCUGUAACUAUCCAAUCACUGAACGUCACUUUCAAUCCCUUAUUUGCAUAUGUGGACCUGAGUGAAAACUAUCUACAGUAUCCCCCUGCUGGCCCAGGGUGAAAACUUCAGUACAUAACAAAAGGUACACUCCCACCCCUUCAAAGAAUCCUGGGAACAGUAGUUUGCCCCCACGGCACUACAAUUCCGAGCACCCUUAACAAACAACAGUUCCCAUGAUUCUUUGAUGUGCUUUAAACGUGUGGUGUGUAUGUAGCUGUGGGCUCUCGGGCAAGACAAGGCAUCCCUUCUGGACCC
rnacentral:lncRNA from 1 species